rnacentral:lncRNA from 1 species
ACGUGACUGUUGGCCAGAGAAUUUUGGAGCUGGACCCUUGUGUCAGGAGCCUAGUGUCUGGGAAUAAGGUAAAGGGACCUUCUGUCCCUUGCAGAUUAAUCUGCUGAGUCUCUGAAUCUGUAAGACGGUGCAGGCAAGCUUAUGUGAAAUAUUCAUUUCAAGCAAUAGCUCAAAAACUGGAGGAUCCAAGCUCUCUACAUAUUGUUCAGGUUGUAAUGCAAAUGGGAAUCCCAAUGCAGCAUGUACUAAGAAAACUCUAGUAACUGCUCUAAGACACAUUUCCUGGUCUACACUGUCACUGGAACAUUGAAAUGGAAAACUGAUCAGCACAUACUAGUUCAUUAAAAUUAUCAUGGAAAGGACCCCAAAGAGAGAAAUGUGUGACAGGCAACAUUCUCAAGGCAUUUUGGAGCGUGCAUCAACUCAACUCACUUCAUGAAAAAUAAGAGAAGAUGGAAUCCUGCUUUUCCUUUCAGGGUAAAUAAUAGUCUCCAUGAAAUAAAAAAAAUCUCAAUGAAGAACUCCAGACUGAACAGUGGGCAGAAUGAAGUCCACUGAUUGGCCAUUAUGAUGAAUUUAAGUGUCCAGCCACCCAUCCCAUGAAAGCCAAUCAAACAGGUGAAGAUAAAUAAACAGCUGUUCCAGUU